CACGCUGUAAACGAUGGGAACUGGGUGUUGCGGGUAUUGACCCCCGCGGUGCCGAAGCCAACGCGUUAAGUUCCCCGCCUGGGAAGUACGGCCGCAAGGCUAAAACUCAAAGGAAUUGACGGGGGCCCGCACAAGCGGUGGAGUAUGUGGUUUAAUUCGACGCAACGCGAAGAACCUUACCCAGGCUCGAAAGUGCUGGAAGUCGGGUGAAAACUCGAUGUGCCCGCAAGGGAGCCAGUAUCCAGGUGC
rnacentral:rRNA from 1 species